rnacentral:rRNA from 1 species
GAUGAACGCUGGCGGCGUGCCUAAUACAUGCAAGUCGAGCGAACGGACGAGAAGCUUGCUUCUCUGAUGUUAGCGGCGGACGGGUGAGUAACACGUGGAUAACCUACCUAUAAGACUGGGAUAACUUCGGGAAACCGGAGCUAAUACCGGAUGAUAUUUUGAACCGCAUGGUUCAAAAGUGAAAGACGGUCUUGCUGUCACUUAUAGAUGGAUCCGCGCUGCAUUAGCUAGUUGGUAAGGUAAUGGCUUACCAAGGCAACGAUGCAUAGCCGACCUGAGAGGGUGGACGGCCACACUGGAACUGAGACACGGUCCAGACUCCUACGGGAGGCAGCAGUAGGGAAUCUUCCGCAAUGGGCGAAAGCCUGACGGAGCAACGCCGCGUGAGUGAUGAAGGUCUUCGGAUCGUAAAACUCUGUUAUUAGGGAAGAACAUAUGUGUAAGUAACUGUGCACAUCUUGACGGUACCUAAUCAGAAAGCCACGGCUAACUACGUG